rnacentral:tRNA from 5 species
GCGCCCGUGGCUCAAUUGGAUAAAGCAACUGACUACGGAUCAGUAGAUUGGGGGUUCGAGUCCCUCCGGGCGCACCA